CGACCGGCGUACGGGUGAGUAACGCGUAUCCAACCUGCCCUUUACUAUGGGACAGCCCGUCGAAAGGCGGAUUAAUACCGUAUGUUGUCAUGUUGAUGCAUAUUUUCAUGACCAAAGGCUUCGGCCGGUAAAGGAUGGGGAUGCGUCUGAUUAGCUUGCCGGCGGGGUAACGGCCCACCGGGGCGACGAUCAGUAGCCGGCCUGAGAGGGCGGACGGCCACAUUGGGACUGAGACACGGCCCAGACUCCUACGGAAGGCAGCAG
rnacentral:rRNA from 1 species